GCCCUCCUAGGGUUGGGCUUUUCCCUGGGUUUCUCCUUCCACGUAGGUAACGCCUGCGAUUUCCUCUACAUCGAUACCUUCUUGUGCAAAGCAGCUUCCCAUCCACCAUUUUGUCUAAUCCUACCACUAGGAUUAUUCUUCCUCUUUUACGGAGAGACAAGGAGACCAAGACUCACUCGUUCAAUGGAAUUCAGCGCAAUUCAAUCAGAUCAGUGAAUUUGGGUACUGUACUAGCACCAAAGAAAACACACUGAAUUAACUCACCCCUCUCCUCAAGUGGAUGGACAGACUACAGUAAGGGGGGCACUCGGCCCCUAGGAGCCCACACAGGCCCUCCAGCAAAGGGCCAAAGGAGAUUCGAACUCAGCACCCCCUGGUUCUAGCAGAACACCCGAUUCUCUUCUACAAUGAUCAAGAAAGGGGUUCUGGCCUUUUAACAAAGCCUGGAAUGACCGUAGACGACGUCUGACCACCCUGAAGCCCAGGUACUGGGCACUUGAGUGAACGAGCCUUUAGAAGAUUCCAGCCCCAGCCAUCCACAUCUUCCCAGCUGAACCCUGGAAAUGUUGGAGCAGAGACAACUGGCUGCUAUGCCGUUUCCCAUCCCACAGAACCUGCCAGCACGUUAUCACGGUUAUCGGAUGCUACUGAGCUUUAGGCUAGCUCAGCUUCGGAUAACCGGGAAAGGAGUAACUCAGAUAACUUCCGUGGGGAGGGGGGUGUUCCAGGCGGAGAAAACAGCCUAUCUUCAGGGAGCAGGGAGUGGGGAGACCAGAGGGGUGACUCACAGCCAAGAUUCCCAAAGUGUGGGGGUGCUCCCACCAAUAGUACAAGGGGUGCCUGGGGAGGCGUUUUCUUCCAUGCCGGGGAACCCUGCAGCGCCGCUGACGCUUUCGUUCCGACAGGCGUUGCCACCCAGUUUGCACACGUGUAGGCAAUAACAUCUUUGUCACAACGGCCACCUGGUCUACGGCGCUUACGUGAUGACAGUGUCUGCAAGAUGCAUCCUGACCAGAUGUUUCAGUGUGGAAAGAACACGUGUCUUGGAAUAAAAAGGGGUAAGAAAAUAAUACGAAUAUUAGGGGUUGGCAGAAUAUGGGAAAACUGGCAAGGGGGGUUCAUGAAUAAGGGCCGCUUGGGAAGAACUCACAGAUGCCUGGCUCCGGAGAGGGCAUGUGGCAAGAGGCCAGGAGUGGUGGCAUUUUCUGGCCAUCUUUGCAAAUGGCUCCGUGGCCAGUAAGCACCCAAACUAGGUCUUGCCGCCUCCAGGCUCAGCCCUGUGCCUUUUCCAUCUCCAGGGCUUAUGGGGCUCCUCC